GUGGGGAAUAUUGGACAAUGGGCGCAAGCCUGAUCCAGCCAUGCCGCGUGAGUGAUGAAGGCCCUAGGGUUGUAAAGCUCUUUCACCGGUGAAGAUAAUGACGGUAACCGGAGAAGAAGCCCCGGCUAACUUCGUGCCACCAGCCGCGGUAAUACGAAGGGGGCUAGCGUUGUUCGGAAUUACUGGGCGUAAAGCGCACGUAGGCGGACAUUUAAGUCAGGGGUGAAAUCCCAGAGCUCAACUCUGGAACUGCCUUUGAUACUGGGUGUCUUGAGUAUGGAAGAGGUAAGUGGAAUUCCGAGUGUAGAGGUGACAUUCGUAGAUAUUCGGAGGAACACCAGUGGCGAAGGCGGCUUACUGGACUGUAACUGACGUUGAGGCUCGAAAGCGUGGGGAGCAAACAGGAUUAGAUACCCGAGUAGUCC
rnacentral:rRNA from 1 species